CUCCUCUACAAAAUGCCGCUUUAACGCGGUGCUUCUGUAUACUUAAAAGUGCUUCAAAAACCAGGUCAACUCAACCACGCAGUUUCAAUAAUCCCGAGGUUUUUCUCCAUUGAUUUGACAGAAAUAAAGAAGAAAAACCAUAAUCCACCUACCUUAUUUCCGGUCUCACAAAAUGCCCAUGAUCUCACACAAUGCAACAUCUGCAAUGUCACUUCCAGUUACUGUACAGUGACAUCACUUCCCAUCCUCUCCGAUGACAUUACUUCCAGGUCUGCCAUAAUGACGUCACUUCUGACCAUUCCUGAUGACAUCACUUCCUGCCAUUCCCAAUGAUGUCUCUUCUAUUGUGUCAUUUCCUUCCACCUUGUUUUCUUAUUUCGCUAUAUAAAUGCCAUGAUUCUAACUGUAUGUGUCAAUUGCGAUCAAUUUGUUAUUUCUUUUUGACCUUAUUUUCAUGACCUUAUCCUUCAGACAAUAUACAGGGACAUUCCCCAACUAUUCAUGAGCAUUUUUUGUGGCUUAUUUCACCACAUGGGUUGCAGUAUAGGCUGCCCUAUAAAUUGUACAAUUCAAGGUUUCUUUUUUAACAUUUGAUUGUAUACAGUACACGUUUCAUUGGACUGUUGUGGAAUAUGUGGUAUAGCAUGUGUGUGUACUGAACUAACAGACAGAACUAUCAUCAGUUUGUGAGUUGCGGCUAGAUGACUACUGUUGGUUUUCAACAGAUAUGCAUUUUAAUUUUGUGAAAGAGCUGAACUACAUCUGCUGCACUACAACUUCUUAUGUUUGUCUAUGUCCUCUUUAUAUACAACUAGCAAAA